rnacentral:rRNA from 1 species
CAAUCUGCCUUUGGAUGGGGGAUAACAGCCGGAAACGACUGCUAAUACCGCAUGAUGCAGCGAGACCGCAUGAUUUUGCUGCCAAAGAUUUAUCGUCCAAAGAUGAGCUCGCGUCUGAUUAGCCAGUUGGCGGGGUAAUGGCCCACCAAAGCGACGAUCAGUAGCCGGACUGAGAGGUUGAACGGCCACAUUGGGACUGAGACACGGCCCAGACUCCUACGGAAGGCAGCAG